rnacentral:rRNA from 1 species
GAUGAACGCUAGCGGCAGGCUUAACACAUGCAAGUCGAACGGCAGCACAGGUAGCAAUACUGGGUGGCGAGUGGCGCACGGGUGCGUAACACGUAUGUAACUUGCCCCUGACUGGAAAAUAGCCCGGAGAAAUUCGGAUUAAUGUUCCAUAAUAUAACGAAGUGGCAUCACUUUGUUAUUAAAGUAUUACGGUCAGGGAUAGACAUGCGUUCGAUUAGCUAGUUGGCGGGGUAACGGCCCACCAAGGCUACGAUCGAUAGGGGACCUGAGAGGGGUAUCCCCCACACUGGUACUGAGACACGGACCAGACUCCUACGGGAGGCAGCAGUGAGGAAUAUUGGACAAUGGCCGCAAGGCUGAUCCAGCCAUGCCGCGUGCAGGAUGACGGCCCUAUGGGUUGUAAACUGCUUUUCUACGGGAAUAAACCUCUUUACGUGUAAAGAGCUGAAGGUACCGUAGGAAUAAGCACCGGCUAACUCCGUGCCAGCAGCCGCCGUAAGAC